rnacentral:lncRNA from 1 species
GGGAUGGGCAACUCUGAGUAACACGACUUAGAGGUUAUGGAAAGUGACUGAAUUUGAAUAAGCAUUACAGAAUUUUUUUAUUUUUUUUUUAAAUCUCAGAAACAGGUGGUUGGCAGGAAUGUGGGCAGCGACGCACACCUGGAAAAAAAAAAGGCCACGACAAAUCUGUCAGCAUCAUUCGCUUUCUGUCCAGGCUUUGUCUAAUAGAAGUAGAAGCUGUUAUAUCACAGGUCACAUUCACCCUUCCAGCCUCAUGCAGAUCGAUGGCCUGUCACCCUCCGCAUCAGUUCUCGCUGCAACCCGUCCCUCUUCCUUCCCAUUACAGACGAGGCUGUUCGCCACCUCGCUACCACGCAGAACGUGGAAGGAGCGGAAUUAAAAUCUGCAGGACUGCUAAACCCGCAGAGGCCGAUUCCGGUUACGCAGCGACGUAUUAGAUUGCUCGUACAAACCAGCACCCGGUCCAGGGCAUCUUUCACGGCCGGGCGUCCUGAAUGCCACAAGCAGAGCCGCCGUGCGCCUGCCGCGGCAUGCAAUCGGGCCAUGCCGAGGCGACAGAUGACUGGCCGGAAAUCCCAUCAAACUGAUGCUCUCCGCGCUCAAACCACACCGAGUCCAGGUCCUCCAGCUGCCAGAUCACCGCCACACAACAAAUACACCAACUCAGAGCAACCGCAUUCCAAUACAAGAGGCUCCCCUUCCUAGAAAGCAGCACGCACCGUGCAGACGGCGACAAUAGAAAGGACCACCGCGACACCGCCGAGGUUCCUCCCGCACACUCACCUUGUCCCCGCCGCGCUCCCUCCACCGGUGCCGGGCGGCGUCCGUCCCGCAGCCGAGCAGCGGGAACGAAGGAGCGGCGCGUCCGCGAUAAAAGCCCCGACCUGCUCCCGACCCCGGCGCAGCGCGACUGUCCGCAGCGACGGCAGCGACGGUGGGAGCGGGAGAGCGGAGCCGCCGGAACCUCCCACCGGGCCGGGCAAACUGCGCCGCCCCGCGGCCGCCCGCACGACGAGCGGCCCGACGAUCCUGACGCCGCGCUGCGUGACGUCACACGGGGGGUGACGUCAUUCGGCAACAACCAACACUGGAUAUUCAAUAGCGAGUCAUGAGCACCACGCAGACACAUUCCGAACUAAAUUAUGAGAUCCAAUGAUCUGAUAUAUUUUUUAAAAUUAUUUUAUUAUGAUCAUUAUUAUUCAAGAUGCCCAAGGGCACUGUAAAAUAAAGCAAGUGAAGUGAAAGUGAUUGUCA